rnacentral:lncRNA from 1 species
ACCUACUACUGACUAGAUAUGGAAUCCAAUGGGUCACACACAUAUAAAAAUUGGCCAAGGAUCCUUUUGAUAAGGUUGAUUGGAAUUUUGGAUCCAAUCAGGGUUUUUGGUAAGCAUGCUAGCAUAUGUGAAAACCCUAGCUCCUUGAAAAAUCAAUUUAGUCUCAUACCUUACUAAUUAGCUAGCCUAAUUUGGUGGGCAUUUGGGUC